rnacentral:rRNA from 1 species
AUUGAACGCUGGCGGCAUGCCUUACACAUGCAAGUCGAACGGCAGCGGGGGAGAAGCUUGCUUUUCCUGCUGGCGAGUGGCGAACGGGUGAGUAAUACAUCGGAACGUGCCCCGUAGUGGGGGAUAACUAGUCGAAAGAUUAGCUAAUACCGCAUACGACCUGAGGGUGAAAGUGGGGGACCGCAAGGCCUCAUGCUAUAGGAGCGGCCGAUGUCUGAUUAGCUAGUUGGUGGGGUAAAGGCCUACCAAGGCGACGAUCAGUAGCUGGUCUGAGAGGACGAUCAGCCACACUGGGACUGAGACACGGCCCAGACUCCUACGGGAGGCAGCAGUGGGGAAUUUUGGACAAUGGGCGAAAGCCUGAUCCAGCAAUGCCGCGUGUGUGAAGAAGGCCUUCGGGUUGUAAAGCACUUUUAUCCGGAAAGAAAUGGCUCUGGUUAAUACCUGGGGUCGAUGACGGUACCGGAAGAAUAAGGACCGGCUAACUACGUGCCAGCCGCCGCCGUAA